GGGGAUGUAGCUCAGUGGGCAGAGUGCCUGCCUGGCACGCUCGAGGCCCUGGGUUCAAUCCCCAGCACCGCCG